UACAGAGAGAGAAAAAGAAUAACCUGUAGAUUUGUGAGAGGACAUUUAACCCAUGAAAGACUUUAAUGUUAAGAGGUCAGCAAAGGGUCGGACUCAGUGGAGAUUCUUCCUCAACUCACACUACGAUGCAAAAUGUCCUCCCUUUUCACUGAGCACUAUGGUCCCAUUCAGGCCUACUGUCCCCUGGUCUGUCCUUUAAGCCUACUGUCCUUCCUUCUGUCCAUCCCCAGGCCCGUCCUCACCUUCACAAACACCACUAAAGAGAACCUGGGCCUGUACACAGUGGAGAUGAGUGACAACCCAGACAUCUCUUCCAGUUUCACCUUCACUGUGGAAGGCACUUUAUACUCAAAGCGAAAGACGACCUGCACAAAAGAUUGCUGCUCCCUGUAAUUCCCCCUCUCUUUCUUUUCCCAUAGAUCUGGAGAGGCUGACCGAGCUCGGCUGGCACAUCUGCCACGCAUGUAAGACUUAGUCACUGUAAUAAUACAAGUCUCUAUCGAGCUAAAACAAUUGAUAGUACUCCGUUUCAAAUCGAAACAGGCAUUAUAAUACAUUGUUCAACAUCACAAUUUCAACAACUUAUUCCGUCAGAUGUUUUCUUGGGUAAGUCCUAUUUUUUGAUUCCUGUCAUUGCGCCCUUCCUAGAUUAUUUUAGUUUGCUGAAGCUUGGAGGCCAACCUGAAUGCAUAACCUAUUCCCUAUUCGUUGUUCCCUCCCCCUACAGUGAUAGCCUUGCGCUCCAAGUGGCAGGUGGAGGUGUCAGAGAAAGGGAACGUGAGUCUUUGGAUGCAGACCGAGAGCCUGAGCAAUGCUGCAGUGCUCCGCCUCAUUCUCAGCGACAGAGAGAUCUCUAGUGCUGCAGUAAAGGAGCACUUCAAAACAGUCUAUAUGUUCUAAUCUCAGAACCCAGAACUAAAUCUAGUGUGUACUAGUCUGUCAGGAGAGUGUGUAUGUCUCAAAUGAAUACUAAAACUAGCUUGGGUGUCAGAAUGUUCCUGCUCUAGUCAAUGGUGCAGUAAUGUAUGAAUAGGAAGACGAUGACAAGUUGGCUGAAACAGAAACAGACUGGUCCAGGCAAGUUAUAGCUUGUCUCCCAGAGGUGUGCAUAAAGCAUAAGCUACUGCAUUUUGCAUACACACAUUUAUUUUGGAAUAUAUGCAGAUGAUUGUGUUCCCGAAUCCAUUUCCAUUUCCAGUGGAAUUCUCCAUAAAAUAACGAAAUGUAGAUGUGCCACAAAAUAGCUAAAUGUUUUAUAUUUUCUCAUUCAAGCUUGCAUUAGUAAGAGGUAUUGGCUGUAUAGAAAGAGAAAGUAAUCACAAAACAAUCACAAUCCAAAAAUGUUACCCUCGCCAUCAUAUUUGCAAUUUCAUUUAAACACAAAUCACCUUCAUAACGAUUUUCACCAGAAUGUACGUAGCAAAUGUACGUAGCAAUAUGAUAGCAAUAUGAUAGCAAUGUUGAUUUGUUAACCUAAAAAAAUAACCACAGGUUGGAAGAUUACUGUAGGCAGAGGUUGUUGCAACAGAUGUGGAUUUUCCAUGGGGUUAAACUAAUAUUACCCAACAUGCAUGUUUUUGGACUCAGUGUCUUGCAUGUGGUUACUCGGUAUGGAAUAGCAUGAUUGCAUCCAUGCAUGUGUGUAUACGUGUAUGUCAACACUGCUAAGGGUUUAUUACUAAAUGACUACAGAUAAGGAUUUUGUGAAUAAACCAAUCUCUAUUUCCCCCAUUUUAGACCCCGUGCCAAGUCACACUGUGAGUUAUGCGUGCCUGCGUGUGUGUGCACAUGUAUGUACAUUCAUGUGCUUGUGUGUGUCCUCUCUCUCUCUCUCUCUCUCUCUCUCGGCCGGUAAGAUUAACUUUGACAAGGCCAGUGGGCUGAUAGAGAUCCUGUUUGACCAGCUGUCUAAGUAGGAUGAGGGCCCCUACACAACUCAGCUCUGCGACGGCCGCGCCAAGAACCAGUUCGCCCUGGUGCUCGUGGACGAGAGUGAGUCCAUCUGGUCACCCCAACUCACUGCCGGGAUGUUCAUACUACCGAACCGAGCUGAGCUAAACCAAACCGUGAUGAGCUGGCCUAUUUUCGCAUCCUCUGUAGCUGCUGGAAGUGGUGAGCCAGCACAGUUUGCUUCAGAUCGGCACAGUACUGUGAAAAGGGCAGCUUAUUAUUGCUGUGAACUCUAAAGAGCAAGUUUCGUCAGACACUGGCUCAGUCCAUAGCCAACAGAAUGGACUACAAGAGAAAGUCAGGACCCUAUUUUCUGGAGUUUUUGUCAUGGACCGUGACAGAGGACUGUGAGUUUAUA